rnacentral:sRNA from 1 species
UGUUCCACUACACUUUAGGUAAGUAACACAUUAGCGCAGGCUCUUUAAGAGCCCUUCCCCUAGGCCCGAAACAGGAUCAGUUUUGGGCCUCUUUUU